rnacentral:lncRNA from 1 species
UUUUAUUAAGAACAAUAUGAACAUUUGUAAAUAACAUCAUAUAUGGUGCAUGCAAUAAUGUACUAAAUAUCAAUAUAAAUCAUUGUUUACAAUUAUAAAAUAAUUUAAUAAUCUGUCAUAAAAACCUAAUUAUUACACAAUGUACUACUACAAUAAAUUAUCUAAUACACUUUUUAAGUAGUAUUGAAUCUAUAACAACCUUUGGUAACUUGUGGUAUAAAUUAACUAGUGUCUGUCUAUCCUGACUACUGAUACAUGCAUUAUGUCCCUGUCCUUUCGUAUAUUACUAUGGUAAAUAGUAAAUGAAUUGACAUGUUUCAUAAACAUACUUUUUCAAAUGUAAAACAAAAUAUUCUUAUUCAAAAUACAUUUUUGUCAUUUCUUCUCUGGUAGAGAGUGGUCUCAUUGUUCUGUGUUCACAAUUAAUUCAAAUUCGAUUUGCAUUAACUAAUUCCAAUUUGUAUUAACAAAAACGGAAUUCUAAUUCUAAUGCUAAUUGGAUAAUGCGAUAAAGCCAAUUCGAAUCAAUUCAAAUUAAAAAAGAAGAGUGUGUGAAUGCAAUUAGCGAAUUCAAUUUGCAUUCGAUUCGAAUAGAUUUGAAUUCUAUUAGAAUUAAAUGUACCUGUGAACAAGGCAUGAGAGUGGUCUCAUUGUGGCAAUCAGUGGACCAUGAUCCUCUUAUUUACUUAUUAAUUGUUUUUUAGAAAUUGUCAUAUCAGAAUAAAAUAAUUUAAUAACUGUAACUGUAAAAUAAAAGUAUCGUUUGAUAAAUACAAAUUACAAUUAAAUAAUGAUCAAGAAAAUUACUAAACAACAUCCAUAUUUCAUCAUUGUCCUGGCUAUAAAUGUAUUAAUUUUGAAUGUCAAAACUCAUAUAGCAUAAAACAUUCAAACUUCACAUAUUUUCUGACCAAAAUUUGGGCAAAAAUCUGUAAAAAAACUUCUGCACCAAAGGCUUUCUAUCAGCUGGCCCCUAAACAAAUAUGUAUACUAGUUCAGUGAUUAAUGCUUUUCUCAACCUAAUGAAAUUUGAACGAGAUCUUAAACAAAACUGA